GACGUAGGGCGUGAGCGUUGUCCGGAUUUAUUGGGCGUAAAGAGCUCGUAGGCGGUGUGUCGCGUCGGCCGUGAAAACCUGGGGCUCAACUCUGGGCGUGCGGUCGAUACGGGCAUCACUUGAGUUCGGCAGGGGAGACUGGAAUUCCUGGUGUAGCGGUGAAAUGCGCAGAUAUCAGGAGGAACACCGGUGGCGAAGGCGGGUCUCUGGGCCGAUACUGACGCUGAGGAGCGAAAGCAUGGGUAGCGAACAGG
rnacentral:rRNA from 1 species